UCUAUUAAAGUGUACAUGCACAUAAAAAUUUGAUUUUUAAAGGGAUAAAUUAUCUAAUAGAA
rnacentral:tRNA from 1 species